rnacentral:rRNA from 1 species
UACAGAGGGUGCGAGCGUUGUCCGGAAUCACUGGGCGUAAAGGGCGCGUAGGCGGCCCCAUAACGCGUGCCGUGAAAGCCCGGGGCUUAACCCCGGGUCGGCGGUGCGAACGGGGUGGCUGGAGUCGAGCAGAGGUGGGUGGAAUUCCGGGUGUAGCGGUGGAAUGCGUAGAGAUCCGGAAGAACACCGGGGGCGAAGGCGGCCCGCUGGGAUGGAGCUGACGCUGAGGCGCGACAGCGUGGGGAGCAAACAGG